CCUACGGGAGGCAGCAGUGAGGAAUAUUGGUCAAUGGGCGCUAGCCUGAACCAGCCAAGUAGCGUGAAGGAUGACUGCCCUAUGGGUUGUAAACUUCUUUUAUAUGGGAAUAAAGUGCAGUAUGUAUACUGCUUUGCAUGUACCUUAUGAAUAAGGAUCGGCUAACUCCGUGCCAGCAGCCGCGGUAAUACGGAGGAUUCGAGCGUUAUCCGGAUUUAUUGGGUUUAAAGGGAGCGUAGGCGGGUUGUUAAGUCAGUUGUGAAAGUUUGCGGCUCAACCCCGUACUGCCGUUGAAACUGCAUCCCUUGAGUGCGCGAGAAGUAUGCGGAAUGCGUGGUGUAGCGGUGAAAGGCAUAGAUAUCACGCAGAACUCCGAUUGCGAAGGCAGCAUACCGGCGCGCAACUGACGCUCAUGCACGAAAGCGUGGGUAUCGAACAGGAUUAGAUACCCUAGUAGUC
rnacentral:rRNA from 1 species